rnacentral:rRNA from 1 species
GACGAACGCUGGCGGCGUGCCUAAUACAUGCAAGUCGAACGAAGCUGUUUUAACUGGUGCUUGCACCGACUUAAACAACUGAGUGGCGAACGGGUGAGUAACACGUGGGUAACCUGCCCCAAAGCGGGGGAUAACAUUUGGAAACAGAUGCUAAUACCGCAUAACCACAGAAACCACAUGGUUUCUGUGUCAAAGAUGGUUUCGGCUAUCACUUUGGGAUGGACCCCCGGCGUAUUAGCUAGUUGGUAAGGUAAUAGCUUACCAAGGCAAUGAUACGUAGCCGAACUGAGAGGUUGAUCGGCCACAUUGGGACUGAGACACGGCCCAAACUCCUACGGGAGGCAGCAGUAGGGAAUCUUCCACAAUGGACGAAAGUCUGAUGGAGCAACGCCGCGUGAGUGAAGAAGGUUUUCGGAUCGUAAAACUCUGUUGUCAGAGAAGAACGUGUGCGAGAGUAACUGUUCGUGCAGUGACGGAAUCUGGCCAGAAAGCCACGGCUAACUACGUGCCAGCCGCCGCCGUAA